UACGAAGGGUGCAAACGUUGCUCGGAAUCAUUGGGCGUAAAGCGCACGUAGGCGGCUUGCCAAGUCGGACGUGAAAUCCCUCAGCUCAACUGAGGACGUGCAUCCGAAACUGGCGAGCUUGAGUACUGAAGAGGAUCGCGGAAUUCCCGGUGUAGAGGUGAAAUUCGUAGAUAUCGGGAGGAACACCAGUGGCGAAGGCGGCGAUCUGGGCAGAUACUGACGCUGAGGUGCGGAAAGCGUGGGGAGCAAACAGGG
rnacentral:rRNA from 1 species